rnacentral:rRNA from 1 species
GAUGAACGCUGGCGGCGUGCCUAAUACAUGCAAGUCGAGCGAACGGACGAGAAGCUUGCUUCUCUGAUGUUAGCGGCGGACGGGUGAGUAACACGUGGAUAACCUACCUAUAAGACUGGGAUAACUUCGGGAAACCGGAGCUAAUACCGGAUAAUAUUUUGAACCGCAUGGUUCAAAAGUAAAAGACGGUCUUGCUGUCACUUAUAGAUGGAUCCGCGCUGCAUUAGCUAGUUGGUAAGGUAACGGCUUACCAAGGCAACGAUGCAUAGUCGACCUGAGAGGGUGAUCGGCCACACUGGAACUGAGACACGGUCCAGACUCCUACGGGAGGCAGCAGUAGGGAAUCUUCCGCAAUGGGCGAAAGCCUGACGGAGCAACGCCGCGUGAGUGAUGAAGGUCUUCGGAUCGUAAAACUCUGUUAUUAGGGAAGAACAUAUGUGUAAGUAACUGUGCACAUCUUGACGGUACCUAAUCAGAAAGCCACGGCUAACUACGUG